GUCAGAGUGGUGAAGUGGAUAAAACACUGGACUUGGAGUCAGGAAGACAUGGGUUCAAAUCCCAUCUCUCCCA
rnacentral:tRNA from 1 species